rnacentral:rRNA from 1 species
AUUGAACGCUGGCGGCAGGCCUAACACAUGCAAGUCGAGCGAGCGGCGGACGGGUGAGUAAUGUCUGGGAAACUGCCUGAAGGAGGGGGAUACCUACUGGAAACGGUAGCUAAUACCGCAUACCAUCAGAUGUGCCCAGGUGGGAUUAGCUAGUAGGUGGGGUAACGGCUGCCCUAGGCGAAGAUCCCUAGCUGGUCUGAGAGGAUGACCAGCCACACUGUAACUGAGACACGGUCCAGACUCCUACGGGAGGCAGCAGUGGGGAAGAGUGCACAAUGGGCGAAAGCCUGAGGCAGCCAGGCCGCGUGUGUGAAGAAGGCCUUCGGGUUGUAAAGCACUUUCAGCGGGGAGGCGUUACCCGCAGAAGAAGCACCGGCUAACUCCGUGCCAGCCGCCGCGGUAAUAC